GAUGAACGCUGGCGGCGUGCCUAAUACAUGCAAGUCGAGCGAACGGACGCGUACUUUGCUUCUCAGAUGUUAGCCGAGCAGGGGAGAGUAACACGUGGAUAAUCUACCUAACAGAGUGAUAUAACUUCGGGAAACCGGAGCUUACCCCGGAUAAUAUUUUGAUCCGUACGGUUCAAAAAUGAAAGUCGGUCUUGCUGUCACUUCUCGAUCGAUCCGCGCUGCAUUAGCUUGUUGGUCAGGUAACGGCUUACCAGGGCAGCGAUGCAUAGCCGACCUCAGAGAGUGGUCGCCGACCCUGGAGCUGGUACGCGGUCAUUACUCCUACGGUAGGCAGCAGUAGGGAAUCUGCCGCAGUGGUGGAGAGCCUGACGGAGCAGCGCCGCGUGAGUGGUGAAGGUCUUGGGAUCGUGAAGCUCUGUUACGAGUGAAGAACAUAUGUGUAAGGAAGUGUGCACAUCUUGACGGUACCUAGUCAGAAAGCCACGGCUAACUACGUG
rnacentral:rRNA from 1 species